GGCAGGGUGGCUAGGAAUGGCUCUAGUAGAAUUCUCCCCUUAUCUUGUCUGGAAACAAGGGGCAAAGAGCUAUCUAUUUCCUCCUGCCAGCCUCCUGCCCCCAACAGGAUUCCUCACAUCCCAGGACCAGCUGGAAAAGGUGGUGAGAGUUGGAAAGAGACUGCUCAGUGAGGACUGCCCUGCGAACCAGCUUGGAUUCAUCCCGUUCACCUCCACGUUCUGCACGCGGGGCCGAGGGAAGGGAGGCAGCCCAGGCAGCUAGAGAACUUGAUGAAACACACUCAAUCUGAAUCUCGCUUGAUCGUCAUGCUGACCCAGUGAGUCUACUCAGGGUCAGGCAUCCUUUCCGACUACUCGCUCAGCAGCGGAUCCCCACCCGCCUCUGACUCCCAGUGUCUUUCGGCUCCAACGUAAGUUCACCGAACGUCUAAGAGCUGAGGAUUCAAAGGCAUGUUAAGACCGCCCCUGCCCUCAGCUGCAAGACCUGUCCGCGAUCCUACGAGCCCCAUUCCGCCCUCUUUCCCCGACCUUGGUCCCCCAUGGGCCCUACAACCAGGUCCCCGACUGACACCUUGACCAGCGAACACAGCAAACAGGCCCGCAGAUGCCGCAGGUCCUUCGGCACCGUCUCCAGGGCCAUCUUCGCCGAUGGGAAGAACAACAGGGAGCUAGACGACCACAGCCUGUGCACCCGCAGGAAGUAAAUAGCUCGUUACCCAGAAUGCCCACCACUUCCGGCGCUUAGACUUCCUCUUCCGGUGUGGGCGGGCGCCAGCUCCGCCCCUACCCCCGCCAGAGGAGAUGGUUUCUCCCACCGGCAGGCGGGGAGGCUGGGCGGCCGGCCGCCACCUGGGCCGGGGCGCGUCGCAGCCACCUGAGCCCGCCGAGGGCGCGGCGGAGGCUGUGUAGGGUAGUCAGCGGGCCCCCGGGGCGGGGGGGCGGCUGCGCUUGCGCGGGAGUGUGUCGGGCUGAGCCGCAGCGCCGAGACGCGGGCUGUUUGAUCUGGGCUGGUGGCCCUGGGCGCCGGUCCUGUUCCCCGAUGGUAACCCGAAGUUUGUUUUUUUUUUGUUUUGUCUCCCCGUUUUAGAAGCAUUGGGGGCAGUGAAUCCACUGUCUCCCUCUGGAUUGUCUCUGCAGAGACCGAGAAGAAAUCCAGGGACAGCCCCACCCCUCCUUCCUAACUGCGAGAGCGCUAUAGGGUUUCCACUUGCUUCCCACAGGAAUGCUGGCCUGGGAGCUACGGCGGAAAAAAAUGCGUAUUUAUCUUUUAAAACUCCGUCUGUUUGCUCGUUCCGGCUGAUAAUUUAUACUUUGCGCAGUUCUUAGCGCUUAGACACGGUUCCUUUACUAAAGACCAUUUGUAGGAGAUUAGGUGUCCUUUUUUUCCCUUUCAUUUCACCGUCUAGGAAGCGAAAUGCCUUGUUCUAUAGGCACCAAACCACCACCCCUACCAAACCUUUCUCGGGGAAGCAGAAGGGGAACUUGUGCCUUGUGAGGAAGCGACAAAGGCCCCUUCUGGCCCUGGAGACUUCACGCCAAUGGAGCACCAGCUCUCUGUCCUCGCAAUAGCCCGAGUGCAGGCAGAACGCAGUCAUUUGUGUUUAUCUGAGAGGAGCUUUGGGAUAUAAAUAGUUUCAGGCCCCGCUGCUCUGUCAUUCCAGCCCAGCCUCCUGAUUGAGCUGCUUCCGGGCGGGCUUGCUUCUUGUUGGCGGUCCCAUGCUGUGUUCAGAUGGGCUCUGUGACAGGUUUGGAUGUUUUCUAUCACUGAAUAAAACUUUCCACUUUGGAACAUG
rnacentral:antisense_RNA from 1 species